UGCUCCUUUGACGUUAGCGGCGGACGGGUGAGUAACACGUGGGUAACCUACCUAUAAGACUGGGAUAACUUCGGGAAACCGGAGCUAAUACCGGAUAACAUUUGGAACCGCAUGGUUCUAAAGUGAAAGAUGGUUUUGCUAUCACUUAUAGAUGGACCCGCGCCGUAUUAGCUAGUUGGUAAGGUAACGGCUUACCAAGGCGACGAUACGUAGCCGACCUGAGAGGGUGAUCGGCCACACUGGAACUGAGACACGGUCCAGACUCCUACGGGAGGCAGCAGUAGGGAAUCUUCCGCAAUGGGCGAAAGCCUGACGGAGCAACGCCGCGUGAGUGAUGAAGGGUUUCGGCUCGUAAAACUCUGUUAUUAGGGAAGAACAAACGUGUAAGUAACUGUGCACGUCUUGACGGUACCUAAUCAGAAAGCCACGGCUAACUACGUGCCAGCAGCCGCGGUAAUACGUAGGUGGCAAGCGUUAUCCGGAAUUAUUGGGCGUAAAGCGCGCGUAGGCGGUUUCUUAAGUCUGAUGUGAAAGCCCACGGCUCAACCGUGGAGGGUCAUUGGAAACUGGGAAACUUGAGUGCAGAAGAGGAAAGUGGAAUUCCAUGU
rnacentral:rRNA from 1 species